AUUUUAACAUGAGAGUUCGAUCCUGGCUCAGGAUGAACGCUGGCGGCGUGCUUAACACAUGCAAGUCGAACGAGCUUUAUGGCCACGAUCCCUUCGGGGUGACGGCCAUAAAGCGAGUGGCGGACGG
rnacentral:rRNA from 1 species